GUGCCAGCCGCCGCGGUAAUACCGGCAGCCCAAGUGAUGGCCGCUGUUAUUGGGCCUAAAGCGUCCGUAGCUGGCCGCACAAGUCCGUCGGGAAAUCCGCCCGCUCAACGGGCGGCCGUCCGGCGGAACCUGUGUGGCUUGGGACCGGGAGGCCUGAGGGGUACGUCCGGGGUAGGAGUGAAAUCCCGUAAUCCUGGACGGACCACCGGUGGCGAAAGCGCCUCAGGAAGAUGGACCCGACGGUGAGGGACGAAAGCUAGGGUCUCGAACCGGAUUAGAUACCCGAGUAGUCC
rnacentral:rRNA from 1 species